rnacentral:rRNA from 1 species
GACGUAGGGCGCGAGCGUUUGUCCGGAUUUAUUGGGCGUAAAGAGCUCGUAGGCGGUCUGUCGCGUCGGCUGUGAAAACCCGGGGCUCAACCCCGGGCCUGCAGUCGAUACGGGCAGACUAGAGUGCGGUAGGGGAGACUGGAAUUCCUGGUGUAGCGGUGAAAUGCGCAGAUAUCAGGAGGAACACCAGUGGCGAAAGCGGCUUCCUGGUCCAGCACCGACGUUCAGGCACGAAAGCGUGGGGGAGCAAACAGG